CUGCGAGGGGGCGUGGAGAUGGUUGAACUGGUUGUAUAAAUAAACAAUCAAGUGAUGCUCUAUGGGGACCAAACACUUUUACAGCAGUCGUCGAUCGUAACGGUUUCUGACCCAGUACAUGAUUGUUGGUGGGACGUCUACUGAAUGUUAAGAUGGAGGUCAACAUUGAGCUGAAGAGCUUCCAAAGCCAGCAGCACAGAGGAGGCAGUGAUCCAGUCACUUCCUCUAUGUGGUUGGAAUCCGGAGGCUCCUCUUCGUCUGCACUGGAGGUUGGAGGAAUCGAAGAGGUGCAGGCUGCAAGAAGCAUUAUUAACAGAUGUAUUGUUAACAUAUGCCUCUACAUUGUCAGUUUAUGAUUAUCACCACUUUAUGUCACUAUGUAAAUUACUGCUCAGGCGACGAGUUACUGCACUGAGCCUCCGAAACACAAAUAAUGACGUCUCUAUGGGUCCUAUGGUCAUCAUCUGGUCUCUGUUGUCAAGGAAACCUUGGAUGAACUUCUCCAGCCUCCACAGCUGCACCUGUCAUCAGAAGACUGCCCCUACACUCCAUCAGCUCUGGUAUUCCUUGACUGAUGGCUCAGAAUUUACCUAAGAAAAAAGGGAGAGAGAAAGAUAAAAGGAUAUUUUGAUUACAAUGUGUUUAAAAACAAACGAAAAUCAAGACACCACACUCCUUCAGCUCAUGAAAAAAAAAUUGACACAUGGCAGAGUAAGUCUCAUGACGCCACUGCAUUGUAAAAGUUUCCAGAGAAUCUAUGGACUAAAAAAAAUUCUAGCCAUAGUCUUGCUCAGACAUGCUAUAUCCAGUGGGGAAAAUAAAAACAGGAGCACCAAAAACCACCUCAAACUAACUAAAAACAUGAGAUAAAACAGCAAAAAAUCCAGAAAGUCUCCUACAUUUAAUAAAAACAUGAAACAGUCUCCUUCAACCCACAAAACGGGCACUGAUCAGAAACACUAGGAUUCAGCACAAAAAUAAAAGCAUUGCAUAGCAACUGCACCGUGCAAAAUCAGUGUUUCUUGUAAAAACAAAACACUUCGAGCAGCAUUGCUCAUUUCUUGGCCUCUGUGGCUCCAUUUCCAUUCAAACUUGUCCAUAACAAACAGUGUCCAUACUAAAAUAAAACAAAAGGACACUAAAACCAGUAAAUAAGUUAAAUAAAGGUGCAAACCUGUGCGGUCUUAAUCAUCAUUGCUAAGAUGACGUUUCACCUUCAGAACCAAUUUUUUUUCAGUCUGUAUAUUUCCUGGUCUGUGAGACCAGACUCGUCUCUGUUCCUCAUAUGGCUUCUUGCUGAUGCGUAACAACCUUUUUUUUCUGCCAGGAACGACUUUAACAUCUUUGCUGAAUAUACCUUUUUUCCUGACUGCUGUCAGUUGUUUCACAGUGGAUACGUCGCUACCGUCUGACAUGCCGUCAUCACUGUCACUGACGUCUGACAGCGGCGGCUCUUUAGCCACCUUGCUGUCUGCACAAACUUCCCCCACCUUUGCUUCACUUAUCAUGCUUCUAGUGUUGAUUCUCCUUUUACCCAGAGGACAGUGCCGUCUUCUAUCCACCUGCCAAAGGAGCAACACUUAGGCAAGUCUGUGUUUUCAGUGUUCUUCCAUUUUGAUUUGAUGAGUUGCUUUCUGAUUGUUUCUAUGAAUGUCAUUGUCAUUAGACAGUUAUAAUAAAAGGGCCUUUUCUUUA